rnacentral:rRNA from 1 species
UAGCUAAAUGCGGAAGAGAUAAGUGCUGAAAGCAUCUAAGCACGAAACUUGCCCCGAGAUGAGUUCUCCCUGAGACUUAGAGUCUCCUGUAGGAACGUUGAAGACGACGACGUUGAUAGGCCGGGUGUGUAAGCGCAGCGAUGCGUUGAGCUAACCGGUACUAAUGAACCGUGAGGCUUAACCUUACAACGCCGAAGCUGUU